CAGUGUUGCAUGCCAUCUUCUGUGUUCCCAGGACAACCUAGGACGGCUCUAAGAAAUACUGUGGGAGCUAUGCUGUAACUUUGCACAUGCCCUCCUGUGGAACUGUUUUCUGUCUGCUUCGGUCCUGAAGCAGAAAAUCACAUCAUUUUGGAACACAGAUCACCAGAAAAGGAGCAUCCCUGAGACUCCUGGAGGAGAGCUGACUUACUUAAGACCACAGAGAUAAUCGGUACCAGAGAAGGGGUCUGAUCCCAUGAUCUUCGAUGCAGAAGCUAAUGCUCUUGGUGAUAGUGCACUGCCUACCCUGGUAAUGCUUUUUUUUUUAACAUUGAGUUACAGUCAUUUUACAAUGUUGUGUCAAAUUCCAGUGCAGAACACAAUUGUUCAGUUAUACGUGAACAUUCAUACAUUCACUGUCGCAUUCUCUUUCGCUGUGAGCCACCACAAGAUCCUGUAUAUAUUUCCCUGUGCUACACAGUACCCUAGUAACUCUUAAUGAGGACAUCAGGAAAUCUUCAGAGAUGCCUGUGCAAUUCAGGCUCUGUGCAGGUCACUA